rnacentral:tRNA from 10 species
UGGGGCGUCGCCAAGUGGUAAGGCAUCGGUUUUUGGUACCGACAUACCUAGGUUCGAAUCCUAGCGCCCCAGCCA